UGUUUUGGUGUUUGGUGCGAUCGGUGGGCUCGCAGUUCGCAUGGUUUGCACGUGAGAAAACUGUUCUUCGCACGCGUGCCGUUUCUCAGAAUGUGUUCUAUGAGAUGGAUUGCAAAGCAGCAUUGGAAUAUUUUGCCGGUAAGGACUAUAGCGGAACCCAGAGUAGGAGCAAGUCUUCUCACAGAAUCGAAAAAAUCAAGAUGGCAUCGAAAGCCAGCGCUGCCGUAUCCUCGUUGCGGGCUGGAGAGAAGAAGAACCUGCGAUUGCGGACCAAAUUUCGUGUUACAACGUAGAAGACGACGUUGGGGGAACUGGGACGUGCCGCAACACGCUAGCAAGCAGUACCUGCUCGGGAAGAAGAGGACACAAGUUGCAGUGUAGGCCGCGACUUUUCGUUGAUGUGUGCGAGUGUGUGUCUAUGUUGACAUCAACGAAGGAACCUCUCUGACACUAUUCGCACAGUAAGGCGCACAGCAGCUAGCCAGAUCUGUUGUUUUCUUGCCUGGACGUGCGUCGUGUGUGCAGAAAAAGGAAAACCAGGAGUUGAAGUGCCAGCUGGACACCUCGCAGAACACAAUCGGUGCAGCCGGGAUUGUGAACACAUUGUGGAGCUCUCCAGCCUCAAGUCCAGGACCAAGAAUUUUCAUUUCGUGUGACAAAGUGCCGAAAGCAAGGCAAAACGGUGGAAGAAGUGCAGUUUUCUAUAGCACCAAGAGUGGAUGUCUGUCAUGUCUAGAACGUCAUUUCUAGACUUGAGGAGAGACAUGUGGAAGAUACCCUUUUGCAUCAGAUACUCAACUGAAGAGGAGCCGCCCCCCCCCCCUUGUUGCUCUCAAUGGAACCAAAAGUAGUAUAAAUAAAAAGCUUGUUCCUCAUA